AUUGAACGCUGGCGGCAGGCUUAACACAUGCAAGUCGAGCGAGCGGCGGACGGGUGUGUAAUGUCUGGGAAACUGCCUGAUGGAGGGGGAUAACUACUGGAACCGGUAGCUAAUACCGCAUACCAUCGGAUGUGCCCCGAUGGGAUUAGCUCGUAGGUGGGGUAAAGGCUCACCUAGACGACGAUCCCUAGCUGGUCUGAGAGGAUGACCAGCCACACUAGCACUGAGACACGGUCCAGAAUCAUACGGGAGGCAGCAGUGGGGAAUAUUGCACAAUGGGCGCAAGCCUGAGGCAGCCAUGCCGCGUGUAUGAAGAAGGCCUUCGGGUUGUAAAGUACUUUCAGCGGGGAGGCGUUACCCACAGAAGAAGCACCGGCUAACUCCGUGCCAGCAGCCGCGGUAAUAC
rnacentral:rRNA from 1 species